GCGGAAGUAGUUCAGUGGUAGAACAUCACCUUGCCAAGGUGGGGGUCGCGGGUUCGAAUCCCGUCUUCCGCUCCA
rnacentral:tRNA from 225 species